ACGUAGGUGGCGAGCGUUGUCCGGAAUUAUUGGGCGUAAAGAGCGCGCAGGCGGUUAUACAAGUCUCAUUUAAAAGCGCUGAGCUCAACUCAGUGUUGGUUGAAAAACUGAAUUAUUUGAGUGCAGGAGGGGUGGAUGGAAGUCCUAGUGUAGCGGUGAAAUGCGUAGAUAUUAGGAGGAACACCAGUGGCGAAGGCGGCUCACUGGACUGUAACUGACACUGAGGCGCGAAAGCUAGGGGAGCAAACGG
rnacentral:rRNA from 1 species